rnacentral:rRNA from 1 species
AUUGAACGCUGGCGGAAUGCCUUACACAUGCAAGUCGAACGGCAGCACGGGAGCAAUCCUGGUGGCGAGUGGCGAACGGGUGAGUAAUACAUCGGAACGUGCCCAAUCGUGGGGGAUAACGUAGCGAAAGCUACGCUAAUACCGCAUACGAUCUACGGAUGAAAGCGGGGGAUCGCAAGACCUCGCGCGAAUGGAGCGGCCGAUGGCAGAUUAGGUAGUUGGNGGGGUAAAGGCUCACCAAGCCUGCGAUCUGUAGCUGGUCUGAGAGGACGACCUGCCACACUGGGACUGAGACACGGCCCAGACUCCUACGGGAGGCAGCAGUGGGAAUUUUGGACAAUGGGCGCAAGCCUGAUCCAGCCAUUCCGCGUGCAGGAUGAAGGCC